UACGGAGGGGGCGAGCGUUGUCCGGAGUUACUGGGCGUAAAGCGCGUGUAGGCGGGUUGCCAAGUCCGCUGUGAAAGCCCGAGGCUCAACCUCGGAGGGUCGGUGGAUACUGGCAAUCUUGAAGGUGCUAGGGGGAGAUGGAAUUACCGGUGUAGCGGUGAAAUGCGUAGAGAUCGGUAGGAACACCAGUGGCGAAGGCGGUCUCCUGGGGCAUUCUUGACGCUGAGACGCGAAAGCUGGGGGAGCGAACGGG
rnacentral:rRNA from 1 species